rnacentral:rRNA from 1 species
UACGAGGGGUGCAAACGUUAUUCGGAUUAACUGGGCGUAAAGGGUGUGUAGACGGUUAAUUAAGUUCGUUGUUAAAUAUCUCGGCCUAACCGGGAAAUCGCGAUGAAAACUAAUUGACUAGAGGGUGAAAGAGAGAAGUGGAAUUCUCGGAGUAGCGGUAAAAUGCGUAGAUCUCGAGAGGAACACCGAUGGCGAAGGCAGCUUCUUGGUUCACUCCUGACGUUGAGACACGAAAGCGUGGGUAGCAAACAGG